rnacentral:rRNA from 1 species
UGAACGCUGGCGGCAGGCCUAACACAUGCAAGUCGAACGGUAACAGGAAGAAGCUUGCUUCUUUGCUGACGAGUGGCGGACGGGUGAGUAAUGUCUGGGAAACUGCCUGAUGGAGGGGGAUAACUACUGGAAACGGUAGCUAAUACCGCAUAACGUCGCAAGACCAAAGAGGGGGACCUUCGGGCCUCUUGCCAUCGGAUGUGCCCAGAUGGGAUUAGCUAGUAGGUGGGGUAAAGGCUCACCUAGGCGACGAUCCCUAGCUGGUCUGAGAGGAUGACCAGCCACACUGGAACUGAGACACGGUCCAGACUCCUACGGGAGGCAGCAGUGGGGAAUAUUGCACAAUGGGCGCAAGCCUGAUGCAGCCAUGCCGCGUGUAUGAAGAAGGCCUUCGGGUUGUAAAGUACUUUCAGCGGGGAGGAAGGGAGUAAAGUUAAUACCUUUGCUCAUUGACGUUACCCGCAGAAGAAGCACCGGCUAACUCCGUGCCAGCAGCCGCGGUAAUACGGAGGGUGCAAGCGUUAAUCGGAAUUACUGGGCGUAAAGCGCACGCAGGCGGUUUGUUAGGUCAGAUGUGAAAUCCCCGGGCUCAACCUGGGAACUGCAUCUGAUACUGGCAAGCUUGAGUCUCGUAGAGGGGGGUAGAAUUCCAGGUGUAGCGGUGAAAUGCGUAGAGAUCUGGAGGAAUACCGGUGGCGAAGGCGGCCCCCUGGACGAAGACUGACGCUCAGGUGCGAAAGCGUGGGGAGCAAAACAGGAUUAGAUACCCUGGUAGUCCACGCCGUAAACGAUGUCGACUUGGAGGUUGUGCCCUUGAGGCGUGGCUUCCGGAGCUAACGCGUUAAGUCGACCGCCUGGGGAGUCCGGCCGCAAGGUUAAAACUUCAAUGAAUUGACCGGGGCCCCCCCAACGGUGGAGCAUGUGGUUUAAAUUGGAAUGCAACGCGAAGAAACCUUACUGGGUCUUGACAUCCACAAGAACUUUCCAGAGAUGGAUUGGUGCCUUCGGGAACUGUGAGACAGGUGCUGCAUGGCUGUCGUCAGCUCGUGUUGUGAAAUGUUGGGUUAAGUCCCGCAACGAGCGCAACCCUUAUCCUUUGUUGCCAGCGGUCCGGCCGGGAACUCAAAGGAGACUGCCAGUGAUAAACUGGGGGAAGGUGGGGAUGACGUCAAGUCAUCAUGGCCCUUACGACCAGGGCUACACACGUGCUACAAUGGCGCAUACAAAGAGAAGCGACCUCGCGAGAGCAAGCGGACCUCAUAAAGUGCGUCGUAGUCCGGAUUGGAGUCUGCAACUCGACUCCACGAAGUCGGAAUCGCUAGUAAUCGUGGAUCAGAAUGCCACGGUGAAUACGUUCCCGGGCCUUGUACACACCGCCCGUCACACCAUGGGAGUGGGUUGCAAAAGAAGUAGGUAGCUUAACCUUCGGGAGGGCGCUUACCACUUUGUGAUUCAUGACUGGG